CAGAAACUAGAGUGCAUAGGGCUGUGAGAAGUUCUAAGGCAUUUGUGUAUUGCACCGGAGACUGAAAGAAGGGUGAGGUUUUGGGGGCUCUGAUGUGCAAGCCCUGAGAAUGUGGCCUGAUUUUCUCUUCUGUUAUUACAACUGCUCUUCUGCUUGAGUUUCUUCUACACCUUCAAGAUGGCUGAAGAACAAGACGCUUUCUCUCCAUGUCUAUGCUGUUUCACUAUGCUGCAAAUAUUCCCAGCCUUUUCCCCUUGAUGCCCAAAAUAAAUUCCUCAAAUACCCUGAGCCCAGGAACUAUUCUUAAUUUCACAUAAAUUUUAUGUAAAGGGACUGAGUCCUUCCAUCCCCCUGCCACUUCCUGGAUUUUGCUCUUCC
rnacentral:lncRNA from 1 species